ensembl:antisense Gm11592 uncharacterized LOC110331521
AGCCCGCGGGCGCGGCCUAACUGCUCGCCCGCUGCCCGCCCCCCGGCGCCCGAGGGUCGCAGUACCUGGGCGGCGGCCUCCAGCUUGCCCUCGAAGGAAAUAGCCAGUUGAAGGGAUGAUCCGAAAACACUUUUGCCAAGAAACAUUUUAGUUAUCCAAAGUCGCUCCGACCAGUGAAAUCUAGACCUUAUAGGAGAGUGGUUUCAAAGAUUAGAAAGACCGGAUCCCACGAUUUCAUGUUUAAUACAAGAUGCUUCAGUGCUGGACACGGAGGCUGAGGCAGGAGGGUCGACAUGGGCCAGCCUGGACUACAGAGGUUUCACUCUGUAGCCUCAUAAUCACUAUAUAGACCAGCCUGGCAUGGAACCUACUGCAGUUUUCCUGCCUCAGCCUUACAGGCACGCAGCAGCACUACCAGUUGGUUUGUUUUCCUAUUUUAUUUUCCUUUUCUCCUCCUCUUCUUUUCUUUCUUUUAUAAAGACAGGGUCUCACUAUAUAGCCCUGGCUAGCAUGAAAUUAACUAUGAAAACUGGUUGACACUUAGCUCUCAAAGAUCUGCCCACCUGUGCUAGAAUUAAAGUCCUAAGCCACCAUG